GAGAGAGGCCCAGCAGCAACGGAAACUGCUAAUUUCCGCAACUUUGGUUAGAUCCCAGAGCUCACUCG
rnacentral:tRNA from 1 species